rnacentral:lncRNA from 1 species
AUGAAGGAGAGCUGGGAGGCUGUCAGCAGCCUUGUUACUGCUCCUGGCACGGCUGCCUGCUGUGAUCCCGCACUGAAAAGCACAUCUUCUGGAAUUUUAGGUGGCAUCUGCAGAAAAUGCCCCAAGGCACAAUGGACGAGAUGCCCAGAACUAAUUAUCUGCCACACAGGGGGAAAUUUGCAGCAGUUCCAUUUUGAAUGGAAGAACGUCUAUGGCAAAGUCAGCAGGGAGGACCCUCAGAGCUGCUGCAGUUGUGUUCUGCCUGAAGGGAAAACUCCUGCAUUCACUGAACAUCCUGGCACUCAAAGAGACUGGAGGUUGAGGACCUGCUGCAGCAGUGCACUGAAGGACUUGUUCAAGUUCCAGCUGGCAGCAAUCCUUUUGAAAUCUGAAGAUUAAACCAGUGGGGGGCAGCACAAUCACUGUUGUCUCUGUUAGCCAGGUCUUCAGCAGGAAGAGGGAAGAACAUAUUUCUGGAGGCUCUGGAGCAGAUUCAUGGAUUCUGGAGUAUUUUCUUCUCCCCAGACAUCAUUCCAG